GAUCAUGGCUCAGAUUGAACGCUGGCGGCAGGCUUAACACAUGCAAGUCGAACGGUAACAGGGAUUAGCUUGCUAAUUUGCUGACGAGUGGCGGACGGGUGAGUAAUGCUUGGGAAUCUGGCUUAUGGAGGGGGAUAACUACGGGGAAACUGUAGCUAAUACCGCGUAAUAUCGGAAGAUUAAAGGGUGGGACUUUCGGGCCACCUGCCAUAAGAUGAGCCCAAGUGGGAUUAGGUAGUUGGUUAGGUAAAGG
rnacentral:rRNA from 1 species